UAUGUCGUGCCUUUCAAAUUUUACACUUCUCUUCUUUCACAUGUUCAUUAGUAUAUAUUAUAGUUUGUUUUACACUUCUCUUCUUUCACAUGAUAUUAUAGUUUGUAGUUGUCUUAUGUACUAACCACUGUUUCAAUUUUGUACACAUUUUUGGUUAAAAUGAAAGAAAGUUAAACAUUAAUAUUUAAUCGUCGCCGUGUGUCUUCUUUUUUACCACCGUCCGUAGUAUCAUCACCUUCUCUUCUUAUUCUUAACCCUGCGUGGUAGUUUUUUUCCUUCUCCAUUAACACAGUCACAUUUUCUUCUCUAUCACACAUUAUCUAUCUUUCACUACUUCAUCUACUCAACUUCCGCUCACUCCGCCUCAAUCACUUCCAGCUGUACAAUCGGGUAUUACCAUCACCAUCGAUAUAUUCUCUUUCAUCACCGUUGCCACCCGUCGUAACCCAUCUUCUUCUUAGCUCUUCCCACCGUCUUUUCUUUUAUUUCACCUAAUGUACUAACAAUUAAAUUCUUCUUGAUACCCAUUUUAUUCCAUCGCCAUUGGACACUAAGAAAAUAAUUAGAAGAUAUGAAUCUUUUUGUUUUUGUGUUUUAUUCUAUUAUAGAUAUAUUGGAAUAGAAUAGCAAAACUCACAUGCAAUAUCGUCACUACCAUUGGUUGUUACGUCGCCAACACCAUCUUCUCACCGUCGCCACUUAUCGUCUCAUAACCUUUUUUCCACUCUCUUCUUCUCCCUCCACCCUCGUUGAUGGUUUUUUUUUC
rnacentral:lncRNA from 1 species